UUCCCCAAUUUCCCCUUUCAAUUUGCGCGCAUCUUCUCUUCUCCACUCACUACUGCAGUCCAUUAUUCUUCUCGGCGUCGUUCAUUCAUUCAAUCUUCUUCUUCCAUAGUCCACUCUUCUCCACCAUCUUCUCGUCCGAUUCCAGUCCGUGUUUUGAAGUUCACAAAUGUCAGUAAACCCAACCUAUUUUCAUGUUGUAACUGAUCUGGUCAUUCAAAUCUCACUUGUGUCCAAACAUUUUUUAUUAAUUUACUUUCUUCAGGCGGUCAAAGUGAGAAUCCAGAUGGUAAGAGAUUGGGGUUGUUGGAUUUUGAUAAUGGCUUAAGUAACCAGGACUCUAUGGUAGAUGACUUUCUGUUGCCUCAUGUAAUUUUGUGGAUGCCUUCCUCUUUUUUAUCAUUCUGUCUGACUUCUUGCCAUUUGUUUGUGUGUUUUUUGAUUUAUCUACUGUCCAUGCUUGUUCUUUUUCAAAUUAGAAAUGCAAGAAAUUUCACUUUCGUAGAAUGUUAGUAACGAUUGUUAAAGCCAAUGCUAAAUAGGAUUUGACUAGUUGGUACCCGAUAUUUUGAUGAUUAAAACCUAGCGUGCAUCAUUUUAAUUACUAAGAACUUAAUUUACUUGAAACAAGUGUAGGAAACACAAUUGUUGUGAGAACUCAUAAAUUUGGUAUUGGCGGUUGGUUCUAGAGUGAGCUUAUGCCUAGAAAGAACUACAACAGUAAUUUCUCCCCCGGUCCAAGUACAACAAAUCUUCUGGAACUGCCCUUAAGAGAUAAGAAAGAAAAAGACCUAAGGAAAAGCUGCAGGGCAUCCCUUCUGAUUGAAGCGACUGAUAAUAAUGGGGGGCCUGAAUUAUAUAAGCAUGAACCAAGGGUAAAAGACAAUGACAACUUGGGACCCUCUAUUGUUGACCAAGAGUUGGAAGUGUGUACAAGGGUGAGUGACGGAGGUGAAAGGGCAGAUGGAAGGCCUUUGAAGCAGCGACUGCUAGUGGUGGCCAAUAGGCUCCCGGUCUCUGCAGGCAGGACAGGUGAAGACUCUUGGUCUCUAGAGAUAAGUGCUAGGGGUCUGAUCAGUGCCCUUGGGUGCGAAGGAGUUGAGGCGAGAUGGAUAUGAUGGGCUGGAGUAAAUGUGCCAGAUGAGAUUGGACAGAAAGCACUUACUAAAGCAUUGGCUUAAAAGAGGUGUAUUCCUGUAUUCCUUGAUGAGGACAUUGUUCAUCAAUACUACAAUGGCUAUUGCAACAACAUCUUGUGGCCUCUUUUUCGUUACCUUGG